UACGGAGGGUGCAAACGUUGCUCGGAAUCAUUGGGCGUAAAGCGCACGUAGGCGGCCUGUUAAGUCGGAUGUGAAAGCCCCGGGCUCAACCCGGGAAGUGCAUUCGAAACUGGCGGGCUUGAAUAUGGAAGAGGGUCGCGGAAUUCCCGGUGUAGAGGUGAAAUUCGUAGAUAUCGGGAGGAACGCCAGUGGCGAAGGCGGCGCCUGGGCCAAUAUUGACGCUGAGGUGCGAAAGCGUGGGGAGCAAACAGGG
rnacentral:rRNA from 1 species